AUUGAACGCUGGCGGCAGGCCUAACACAUGCAAGUCGAGCGGAUGACGGGAGCUUGCUCCUUGAUUCAGCGGCGGACGGGUGAGUAAUGCCUAGGAAUCUGCCUGGUAGUGGGGGACAACGUUUCGAAAGGAACGCUAAUACCGCAUACGUCCUACGGGAGAAAGCAGGGGACCUUCGGGCCUUGCGCUAUCAGAUGAGCCUAGGUCGGAUUAGCUAGUUGGUGGGGUAAUGGCUCACCAAGGCGACGAUCCGUAACUGGUCUGAGAGGAUGAUCAGUCACACUGGAACUGAGACACGGUCCAGACUCCUACGGGAGGCAGCAGUGGGGAAUAUUGGACAAUGGGCGAAAGCCUGAUCCAGCCAUGCCGCGUGUGUGAAGAAGGUCUUCGGAUUGUAAAGCACUUUAAGUUGGGAGGAAGGGCAGUAAGUUAAUACCUUGCCGUUAUGACGUUACCGACAGAAUAAGCACCGGCUAACUCUGUGCCAGCAGCCGCCGCAG
rnacentral:rRNA from 1 species